rnacentral:rRNA from 1 species
AUUGAACGCUGGCGGCAGGCUUAACACAUGCAAGUCGAACGAGUGGCGGACGGGUGAGUAAUGUCUGGGAAACUGCCUUAUGGAGGGGGAUAACUACAGGAAACUGUAGCUAAUACCGCAUACCAUCGGAUUUGCCCAGAUGGGAUUAGCUAGUAGGUGGGGUAAAGGCUCACCAAGGCGACGAUCCCUAGCUGGUCUGAGAGGAUGACCAGCCACACUGGAACUGAGACACGGUCCAGACUCCUACGGGAGGCAGCAGUGGGGAAUAUUGCACAAUGGGCGCAAGCCUGAUGCAGCCAUGCCGCGUGUAUGAAGAAGGCCUUCGGGUUGUAAAGUACUUUCAGUGGGGAGGCGUUACCCGCAGAAGAAGCACCGGCUAACUCCGUGCCAGCAGCCGCGGUAAUAC